rnacentral:rRNA from 1 species
CAAUKGCGACCCCAGGUCAGGCGGGGCUACCCGCUGAGUUUAAGCAUAUCAAUAAG